UUUAUGGAGAGUUUGAUCCUGGCUCAGGAUGAACGCUGGCGGCGUGCCUAAUACAUGCAAGUCGAGCGAACAGAUGAGGAGCUUGCUCCUUUGAUGUUAGCGGCGGACGGGUGAGUAACACGUGGGUAACCUACCUAUAAGACUGGGAUAACUUCGGGAAACCGGAGCUAAUACCGGAUAAUAUUUCGAACCGCAUGGUUCGAUAGUGAAAGAUGGCUCUGCUAUCACUUAUAGAUGG
rnacentral:rRNA from 1 species